rnacentral:lncRNA from 1 species
GAGCUAUCACCGGCCAGUAUUGCCAUUUGAUUUCCGACCGUGCUAUUUUAUUUUCUUUUCUGUUCUAACGUUUUAUGGUCUUAUUUUCUGUUAAUUUUGAACUUAGUUUUUUAUUUUAUUUUUUUUCUUAAUUAUGAGUUCGUAUUUCUUUUACAUGGUUUCUUCGUUUUAUUUAGUUGUGUUUUGAGUAGUUUUUAAUUCGUAUUCAGCUUUGCCUUGCUAGAUAAACCAAAUAACUAAUAUACGAGGAAAGAGGUUAUAUCAAGUGUUCCACGGAAUUUCCUCGGUAUUUCUUAAAAGAAAAAAAAAAUCAAUGGUAGUCUGUUUCCG